rnacentral:rRNA from 1 species
GUCGGGAAUUUUGCGCAAUGGGCGAAAGCCUGACGCAGCAACGCCGCGUGAGGGAUGAAGGCCUUCGGGUUGUAAACCUCUUUUCUCAGGGAAGAUAAUGACGGUACCUGAGGAAUAAGCCACGGCUAACUACGUGCCAGCAGCCGCGGUAAUACGUAGGUGGCAAGCGUUGUCCGGAUUUACUGGGCGUAAAGAGCGCGCAGGCGGUUGGACAAGUCGCGUGUGAAAGCCCCCGGCUCAACUGGGGAGGGUCACGCGAUACUGUUCAACUCGAAGGCAGGAGAGGGAAGUGGAAUUCCCGGUGUAGUGGUGAAAUGCGUAGAUAUCGGGAGGAACACCAGUGGCGAAGGCGACUUCCUGGCCUGUUCUUGACGCUGAGGCGCGAAAGCUAGGGGAGCAA